AACGAACGCUGGCGGCAUGCCUAACACAUGCAAGUCGAACGAGAUCUUCGGGUCUAGUGGCGCACGGGUGCGUAACGCGUGGGAAUCUGCCCUUUGGUUCGGAAUAACAGUUGGAAACGACUGCUAAUACCGGAUGAUGACGAAAGUCCAAAGAUUUAUCGCCAGAGGAUGAGCCCGCGUAGGAUUAGCUAGUUGGUGUGGUAAAGGCGCACCAAGGCGACGAUCCUUAGCUGGUCUGAGAGGAUGAUCAGCCACACUGGGACUGAGACACGGCCCAGACUCCUACGGGAGGCAGCAGUGGGGAAUAUUGGACAAUGGGCGAAAGCCUGAUCCAGCAAUGCCGCGUGAGUGAUGAAGGCCUUAGGGUUGUAAAGCUCUUUCGCACGCGACGAUGAUGACGGUAGCGUGAGAAGAAGCCCCGGCUAACUUCGUGCCAGCCGCCGCGGUAA
rnacentral:rRNA from 1 species